rnacentral:lncRNA from 1 species
AUGGCAGGGGUGGGAUGGGAUGAGUUUGGAGCUAAAAAGUUCCCUUUGGGCAGGGCCAGGGUGUCAGAGGGCAGUGCAGCCCCAGGCACUUCGGGGAGCUCUGUCUCUNNNNCUGUCUGUGUGUCUGUCCUUCCCCAGGGCAGCUGCUCUGGGCACAGGGAACAAUUCCUGCCCAAAAUCCCAUCCAUCAAUAAUUUAGAACCAUUCCCCUUGUCCUGCCACUCUCUGCCCAUGUGCAAAACCCUUCUCUCUCCUUUCCAGAGCCCCCUUCAGGCUCUGGCAGGGGCUCUGAGGUCUCUCAGGAGUCUCCUCUCCUCCAGGCCGAGCCUCUUCCCAUCAGGGAAUUAUUUGGAUGAACUGGUCUGUAAAUCCCACACACCCUGGGGAUUAGGGUCACUUAGACAGAGCCACAAGUGGCACCCAGAAUUUCCCUUUUCCAUCUGGAACCAAGCACUUUUCUCUGUGUGUGGCCCCGUGGGCUCCUUCAAAGCAAAGAGAUUUACAAAGCGUGUAACAGCAGUUUGCAAAGGUGGGAUCAUAAAAUCAUGGAAUGGGGAGGGCUGGAAGGGAUGUCAAAAAUCUUUUCCACAUCUGCUGUGGGGAUGGGAGCCAGAGCUGGAGGCUGAGUGUGGAGUUGGUUUAAUUCAGGAUAAACCCAUUGUUGGAUAUUUGGCUCCACCUAUGGGCACUUCCUCGUACCUCUGGAAAUCUUGAUUUUAUCCCAGAAUAUUCAAGGUGGAAAAAGCCUUCAGGAGCAUCCAGUGCCACCCCAGCAGCAUCAGCAUCACCCCAAGGGCCAAAUCCAGACUCCUCCUGGACAUUCCAGAGACAGGGACUUCAAACCUCCCUGGGAAGUUCAUCCCAGUGCAGGGAAACAUAAAAUUUAGUAAAUCCUUUAGCCAUGGCAUGGUGGAGUCAUCACAGAGUUAUGGAUUGGCUGAGUUGGAGGGACCUUAAAUCCCACCCAGUGCCACCCCUGCCAUGGGGACACCUCCCCCUGUCCCAGGCUGCUCCAGCCCCAGUGUCCAGCCUGGAACUGAACAUUGCAGGGAUCCAGGGGCAGCCACAGCUGCUCUGGGAAUCCAUCCCAGCCCCUCGAUGUCAAAAAUCUUUUCCACAUCUGCUGUGGGGAUGGGAGCCAGAGCUGGAGGCUGAGUGUGGAGUUGGUUUAAUUCAGGAUAAACCCAUUGUUGGAUAUUUGGCUCCACCUAUGGGCACUUCCUCGUACCUCUGGAAAUCUUGAUUUUAUCCCAGAAUAUUCAAGGUGGAAAAAGCCUUCAGGAGCAUCCAGUGCCACCCCAGCAGCAUCAGCAUCACCCCAAGGGCCAAAUCCAGACUCCUCCUGGACAUUCCAGAGACAGGGACUUCAAACCUCCCUGGGAAGUUCAUCCCAGUGCAGGGAAACAUAAAAUUUAGUAAAUCCUUUAGCCAUGGCAUGGUGGAGUCAUCACAGAGUUAUGGAUUGGCUGAGUUGGAGGGACCUUAAAUCCCACCCAGUGCCACCCCAGCCAUGGCAGGGACACCUCCCACUGUCCCAGGCUGCCCCAGUGUCCAGCCUGGAACUGAACAUUGCAGGGAUCCAGGGGCAGCCCCAGCUGCUCUGGCAAUUCUGUGCCAGGGCCUCUCCACCUUCACAGGCAAGAUUCCUUCCCAGUUUCUAAUCCAAACCUACUCUCAGUUGGACAGCAGCAGGAAUUUUUCCCCAGCUCCCCCUCCCAGGAUGUGUUUUCCAGUCCCUUCCCCAGCUCCAAAGG